CAAGAAGAAGCUGUUGAAGGGUCGUUUCUUUGACUUCCAAAUGGGAGACCUUCACGCUGGAGCCACACGGCUUUGCAAGCUAGCUUUCCGUUCACAGUCCCCUGCAUUCCUGUGCAGCACCCAGCAUUGUGAAGACAGAGGCACGGAUGCGGUCAACACAUCCCGCCAGGAAGAUGUUAGAGCCGAACUUCAAACACCGAGCAAAAGCAAGUUACUCCCUCGUCAGCACCACCACCACCAAGACCAGAUACCACUUUCAGAUUAGAAUCCAGAAGCUUCCUGAAAUGGACUGGAGCAGAAGUGUAUUAUGGACACCUUUCUUGGGUGGUGGCAACCAGGCAUCUUUGGAGCCUAUGGGAAGCCAGGGACAAGGGAACUGCUGAAGUAGCCAUGAAGGUCAGUGCUUCUGGGCAUAGACCAGGGCGGAGAAAGCUGGUAAAUCGGAGGAGUGGAGAAGACCAGAUGCCAAGUUCUCAGCUACUGCUCCAGCACCAUUCCACCAUACUUCCUGCCAUGAGGAUCACGGACAAAACCUCUGGAACCAUGAGCAAGUCCCCAAUUAAAUGCUUCCUUUUAUAAGUCACCUUUGGUCUUGGUGUCUUUUCACAGCAAUAGAAAACUAACACACCCUGUUUCAAAAAAAAUAAUAAUAAAAAAUGAAAUGUAAUGGCUGCAUGACCAGGAAGCCAAUAACUUCUACAAGCACGUUUCCUGUCUGUGACAGA